AGUUUAAUUACAGCUUCUUCAUUGGUCUGAAGAUUAUUAUUAGUACUACUACCUACAAAAACAAAAUCCAAUCAUUAAUUAAUAAUUUAAAAAAAAAAAACCCUAAAACUUAAACACAACAAGCAAUCAAUCAAUCAAUCAAUCAAAAAGGCUAAAGAAGAGUCGAACGAACAAACCACUGUUUUCUUCUCUAGGUUCCAUCAAUAAAACCUAAUUUUCAAUUAAAAGUUUUGAAAGAUUGUCGCCGCUAAGCACAGCAGAAUCGAAUCGAAUCGAAUUGAUUGAAAAGCUUUAAACAGGAAGAUUGAGAGAACUCAAAGUAGAGGAAUUUUCUUAUUGAUGGAAACGGGUCGGGUUGAUACAACCCUCAAACUCAGAUCAGGUAUCAAAGCCCAACCCGAGAUUUUAUCAAGAUCAAAACCCGAUUCAAAAAAUGUUUGUGUAUCCACUAUCCACUA
rnacentral:lncRNA from 1 species